rnacentral:rRNA from 1 species
AAUAUUGGGCAAUGGGGGAAACCCUGACCCAGCAACGCCGCGUGAAGGAAGAAGGUCNNNGGAUUNUAAACUUUUGUCUUUGGNGACNAACAGAUGACGGUACCCACAGAAGAAGCCCCGGCCAACUACGUGCCAGCAGCCGCGGUAACACGUAGGGGGCAAGCGUUGUCCGGAUUUAUUGGGCGUAAAGAGCUCGUAGGUGGCUCAGUAAGUCGGGUGUGAAACCUCCAGGCUCAACCUGGAGACGCCACCCGAUACUGCUGUGGCUAGAGUCCAGUAGGGGAGCGUGGAAUUCCUGGUGUAGCGGUGAAAUGCGCAGAUAUCAGGAGGAACACCAGUGGCGAAGGCGGCGCUCUGGGCUGGAACUGACACUGAGGAGCGAAAGCGUGGGGAGCAAACAGG